rnacentral:rRNA from 1 species
GAUGAACGCUGGCGGCGUGCCUAAUACAUGCAAGUCGAGCGAACAGACGAGGAGCUUGCUCCUCUGACGUUAGCGGCGGACGGGUGAGUAACACGUGGAUAACCUACCUAUAAGACUGGGAUAACUUCGGGAAACCGGAGCUAAUACCGGAUAAUAUAUUGAACCGCAUGGUUCAAUAGUGAAAGACGGUUUUGCUGUCACUUAUAGAUGGAUCCGCGCCGCAUUAUCUAGUUGUUAAGGUAACGGCUUACCAAGGCAACGAUGCAUAGCCGACCUGAGGGGAGGAUCGGCCACUGGGGAACGAGGACAGGCGGCAACCCUGUGAGGGAGAAAGGGGUGGGACAUCUUCCGGAAGGGGCAAAGGCGUAGAGGGGACACUGCGCGGGAGUGUGAAGGGUCUUGGGAGCGUAAAAGUUGUUUAUUUGGGGGAAAAAAAGGUGUAGGAAACUGGACGAGUAUGACCGGUCCCUAAGAAGAAGGCCCGGCCAACCCCGGG